AGACCCGAAACCCGGUGAUCUAGCCAUGGGCAGGUUGAAGGUUGGGUAACACUAACUGGAGGACCGAACCGACUAAUGUUGAAAAAUUAGCGGAUGACCUGUGGCUGGGGGUGAAAGGCCAAUCAAACCGGGAGAUAGCUGGUUCUCCCCGAAAGCUAUUUAGGUAGCGCCUCGUGAAUUCAUCUCCGGGGGUAGAGCACUGUUUCGGCUAGGGGGCCAUCCCGGCUUACCAACCCGAUGCAAACUGCGAAUACCGGAGAAUGUUAUCACGGGAGACACACGGCGGGUGCUAACGUCCGUCGUGAAGAGGGAAACAACCCAGACCGCCAGCUAAGGUCCCAAAGUCAUGGUUAAGUGGGAAACGAUGUGGGAAGGCCCAGACAGCCAGGAUGUUGGCUUAGAAGCAGCCAUCAUUUAAAGAAAGCGUAAUAGCUCACUGGUCGAGUCGGCCUGCGCGGAAGAUGUAACGGGGCUAAACCAUGCACCGAAGCUGCGGCAGCGACGUUUAUGCGUUGUUGGGUAGGGGAGCGUUCUGUAAGCCUGCGAAGGUGGCCUGUGAGGGUUGCUGGAGGUAUCAGAAGUGCGAAUGCUGA
rnacentral:rRNA from 1 species